rnacentral:rRNA from 1 species
UACGUAGGGCGCAAGCGUUAUCCGGAAUUAUUGGGCGUAAAGAGCUUGUAGAGCGGUUUGUCGCGUCUGCCGUGAAAUUCCGGAGCUCAACCUCGAACUUGCGGUGGGUACGGGCAGACUAGAGUGUGGUAGGGGAGACUGGAAUUCCUGGUGUAGCGGUGAAAUGCGUAGAUAUCAGGAGGAACACCUGCGGUGUAGACGGCUUUCUGGACCAUUGUUGACGCUGAGACACGAAAGCGUGGGUAGCAAACAGG